GCCGUCUUAGGUAAUUACUUCACUUAAAAGACAGAUGCCGCCGCUGCGAGGCGAAGGAGUAACUUGUCUGGUCUUGCGGUGCACUCACUCCCGUUACGAGAAUGAAAAAAGCCCCAGCUCGACUCGAGACCAAGAUUCCUUACAACUCGCACCAAUAGCGGCACUGAACGGCCGGAGAUUGAUUGAAAAAGCAGCCCAGCCAGCCCGCCCCUUUAGUGAUUGUGAUCAAGAGCACACACUGGACCUGACCCACUAAUCAUCAUCUCAUCUGACGCGAAGCAAAAAGAAGGGGGAACCCUUCCUUCCCAGCCCAGCCGCCUCUCCC
rnacentral:misc_RNA from 1 species